GAUGAAGAACGUAGCGAAAUGCGAUACUUGGUGUGAAUUGCAGAAUCCCGUGAACCAUCGAGUCUUUGAACGCAAGUUGCGCCCUAAGCCUUUAGGCCGAGGGCACGCCUGCCUGGGCGUCACACGCCGUUGCCCCCCCCGCGCCUCCCUCGGGAGCGUCGGGGGGCGGACGAUGGCCUCCCGUGCGUCACCCCGCGCGGCUGGCACAAAUGCCGGGUCCUCGGCGACGAACGCCACGACAAUCGGUGGUUGUCGAACCUCGGUUGCCCGUUGUGCGCUUUCGUCGCGCUCCGAUCGGCCCGCGACGCUCCCCGCUCCGCUUCGGCCGAGCUUUCGACGCGACCCCAGGUCAGGCGGGGUUACCCGCUGAAUUUAAGCAUAUCAAUAAGCGGAGGA
rnacentral:misc_RNA from 1 species